GAUGAAGAACGCAGCGAAAUGCGAAAAGUAAUGUGAAUUGCAGAAUUCAGUGAAUCAUCGAAUCUUUGAACGCACAUUGCGCCCGCCAGUAUUCUGGCGGGCAUGCCUGUCUGAGCGUCAUUUCAACCCUCAUGCCCCUAGGGCGUGGUGUUGGGGAUCGGCCAGCGCCCGCGAGGGACGGCCGGCCCCUAAAUCUAGUGGCGGACCCGUCGUGGCCUCCCCUGCGAAGUAGUGAUAUUCCGCAUAGGUGAGCGACGAGCCCCUGCCGUUAAACCCCCAACUUUCUAAGGUUGACCUCAGAUCAGGUAGGAAUACCCGCUGAACUUAAGCAUAUCAAUAAGCGGAGGA
rnacentral:misc_RNA from 1 species